UGGGGAAUAUUGGACAAUGGGGGGAACCCUGAUCCAGCAAUGCCGCGUGUGUGAAGAAGGCCUGAGGGUUGUAAAGCACUUUCAGAGGGGAGGAGGACUAUUAGGUUAAGAGCUAGAUAGUUGGACGUUACCCUCAGAAGCAGCACCGGCUAACUCCGUGCCAGCAGCCGCGGUAAUACGAAGGGUGCUAGCGUUGUUCGGAAUCACUGGGCGUAAAGCGCGCGUAGGCGGCUUAACAAGUCAGAGGUGAAAGCCUGGAGCUCAACUCCAGAACUGCCUUUGAAACUGUUAAGCUUGAGUGUCGGAGGGGAUAGCGGAAUUUCUAAUGUAGAGGUGAAAUUCGUAGAUAUUAGAAGGAACACCGGUGGCGAAGGCGUCUACCUGGCCUAAUACUGACACUGAGGCACGAAAGCGUGGGGAGCAAACAGGAUUAGAUACCCAAGUAGUCCCUGAGCGGGCUGGCAAGGCGCAU
rnacentral:rRNA from 1 species